UAAAAUUUAUCUUAUUUUCAUACACUAAACAGAAAUAUUUUAAAAUAACAUAUAUCUAUGAAAAUUUGAGUGUACAGAUGUCUGUGUGAAUAGCUCACACGAACAUCAGAACCUGAAGUGUAGUACAGACGGAGAUCAGUGUGAAUGUGCACAAGUAGAUCUAGAUCUAAAAGUUUCAGAAGCAUCACCAUGGCCAUUGCAGCAGCGACAAUGGCUCUGGCCAGACCGACCUCGACUGCUUUGCCAACAACAACACACAGGGCCAACCGGCCAAAUGGGUCUUCACUCCUUUCGCUGUUUGUUAUUCAUCUUCUUCUUCUUCAAAAUCUUCAAGAGCUCUCAUUCUCUAGUUCAAGCCCGGCUGCUGUAUGUGCGAUGGCCUCAAAGAAAAGCUUUGGAUAGAGUGCUAUCUGAUGGCUCUAUAUCUUGUAAAGAAAUUAUAUCUUGGAAUAUUCAUAUCAGCUUUUGUAGCCAAUACUUUAAUUGAAUGGUCAGAACAGAUCUCUCUUU